GCAGUCGAACGGCAGCAUGAUCUAGCUUGCUAGAUUGAUGGCGAGUGGCGAACGGGUGAGUAAUACAUCGGAACGUGCCCUGUAGUGGGGGAUAACUAGUCGAAAGAUUAGCUAAUACCGCAUACGACCUGAGGGUGAAAGUGGGGGACCGCAAGGCCUCAUGCUAUAGGAGCGGCCGAUGUCUGAUUAGCUAGUUGGUGAGGUAAAGGCUCACCAAGGCGACGAUCAGUAGCCGGUCUGAGAGGACGAUCAGCCACACUGGGACUGAGACACGGCCCAGACUCCUACGGGAGGCAGCAGUGGGGANUUUUNGACAAUGGGGGCAACCCUGAUCCAGCANUGCCGCGUGUGUGAAGAAGGCCUUCGGGUUGUAAAGCACUUUUGUCCGGAAAGAAAUCGCACUUACUAAUAUUAGGUGUGGAUGACGGUACCGGAAGAAUAAGGACCGGCUAACUACGUGCCAGCAGCCGCGGUAAUACGUAGGGUCCAAGCGUUAAUCGGAAUUACUGGGCGUAAAGCGUGCGCAGGCGGUUGUGCAAGACCGAUGUGAAAUCCCCGGGCUUAACCUGGGAAUUGCAUUGGUGACUGCACGGCUAGAGUGUGUCAGAGGGGGGUAGAAUUCCACGUGUAGCAGUGAAAUGCGUAGAGAUGUGGAGGAAUACCGAUGGCGAAGGCAGCCCCCUGGGAUAACACUGACGCUCAUGCACGAAAGCGUGGGGAGCAAACAGGAUUAGAUACCCUGGUAGUCCACGCCCUAAACGAUGUCAACUAGUUGUUGGGGAUUCAUUUCCUUAGUAACGUAGCUAACGCGUGAAGUUGACCGCCUGGGGAGUACGGUCGCAAGAUUAAAACUCAAAGGAAUUGACGGGGACCCGCACAAGCGGUGGAUGAUGUGGAUUAAUUCGAUGCAACGCGAAAAACCUUACCUACCCUUGACAUGCCACUAACGAAGCAGAGAUGCAUUAGGUGCUCGAAAGAGAAAGUGGACACAGGUGCUGCAUGGCUGUCGUCAGCUCGUGUCGUGAGAUGUUGGGUUAAGUCCCGCAACGAGCGCAACCCUUGUCUCUAGUUGCUACGAAAGGGCACUCUAGAGAGACUGCCGGUGACAAACCGGAGGAAGGUGGGGAUGACGUCAAGUCCUCAUGGCCCUUAUGGGUAGGGCUUCACACGUCAUACAAUGGUGCAUACAGAGGGUUGCCAAGCCGCGAGGUGGAGCUAAUCCCAGAAAAUGCAUCGUAGUCCGGAUCGUAGUCUGCAACUCGACUACGUGAAGCUGGAAUCGCUAGUAUCGCGGAUCA
rnacentral:rRNA from 1 species